rnacentral:rRNA from 1 species
CAGCAGCCGCGGGAAUACGUAGGGUCCGAGCGUUGUCCGGAAUUACUGGGCGUAAAGAGCUCGUAGGUGGUUUGUCGCGUUGUUCGUGAAAACUCACAACUCAAUUGUGGGCGUGCGGGCGAUACGGGCAGACUGGAGUACUGCAGGGGAGAUUGGAAUUCCUGGUGUAGCGGUGGAAUGCGCAGAUAUCAGGAGGAACACCGAUGGCGAAGGCAGAUCUCUGGGCCGUAACUGACGCUGAGGAGCGAAAGCAUGGGGAGCGAACAGGAUUAGAUACCCCGGUAGUCCCUGUCUCUUAUAC